GGGAAUGUGGUUCAGUGGUAGAGUGCUUGCCUUGCAUGCAUGAGGCCCUGGGUUCGAUUCCUCAGCACCA
rnacentral:tRNA from 1 species